rnacentral:rRNA from 1 species
AGUGAACGCUGGCGGUAGGCCUAACACAUGCAAGUCGAACGGCAGCACAGUAAGAGCUUGCUCUUACGGGUGGCGAGUGGCGGACGGGUGAGGAAUACAUCGGAAUCUACUUUUUCGUGGGGGAUAACGUAGGGAAACUUACGCUAAUACCGCAUACGACCUACGGGUGAAAGCAGGGGAUCUUCGGACCUUGCGCGAUUGAAUGAGCCGAUGUCGGAUUAGCUAGUUGGCGGGGUAAAGGCCCACCAAGGCGACGAUCCGUAGCUGGUCUGAGAGGAUGAUCAGCCACACUGGAACUGGGACACGGUCCAGACUCCUACGGGAGGCAGCAGUGGGGAAUAUUGGACAAUGGGCGCAAGCCUGAUCCAGCCAUACCGCGUGGGUGAAGAAGGCCUUCGGGUUGUAAAGCCCUUUUGUUGGGAAAGAAAAGCAGCAGGUUAAUACCCCGCUGUCCUGACGGUACCCAAAGAAUAAGCACCGGCUAACUUCGUG